GGGGAUGCUCCAGAAGAGUAAAAAGAAGCCCUUCUAGAGAUUGAAAAUAUCACUGGAAUCCCAGAGAAAGAGCAACAAGUAGCCCCCCCCCCCCAUAUGGCUUUCAGGACUUUUUGUGUUUAACAAAGGAAGACAGCUGGGUGCCAAGCCUAAAGAUGAUGCCAGGGUCUUCUCAGAACUUGCUAGGCAGUUUAGGGUGGAUGAGGACCAGAGGAUAAACACCCUAAUGGUGGCUUUCAUUGUGCUGGAUCUGUCAAAUGGCAAGAGCAUCACUGAGCCCAUUUCACAGAAGAACCUGAGGAGGGCUACUUAAUCCAUGGACCCAUCGCUGAAAACUAGAACUGCCGACAGUCAAACCAGGGAAGUCAAAGCUGGGAGAUGCAGUCCUCAGAUCUGUACCAGACACCAUGAUACUAUCACUGAACUGAAGAUGGACAGUGUUUUUCCAGAGAUACCAUCAUACCACUCUCUGUCACAGCUAGUUACUCUGCAAGAUGCAUAGUAAAAUGUUCCUGCUAAUGGCCCUCUUUAGCUGGUGAGAACUACAGAAGCCUGUUUGUAAGCAUGGACUCAUGGGAUUCGGUUGCCAAUUUGGUUGACCUGACCUUGAGAUAGACUUAACUUGCUGUAUGGUCUUCGGGAAACCACACCCCAUCUCUGUGCUCUUCUCUUGUUUGUGCUAACUCAUUCCUGGGCCCUCCUGUUGCUGCUGCUGAAAUUUGAUACUGGCCUUGACCAAGUCACAAAUGUCCAGUUAACAGGAUAAAAAUGAGCGGGAUCUGGGAUUCCGGUCAUUAACCCCAUGUCACCAUCUGCUGGAGUAAGAUGAGGGCAGGGCCAGGGGCACUGGGGAACCACCUGGUACUUGUCAGACAUAGAGAUCCCCUACCAUCUUCUCCUCCCAUGCCACCUCCACAGUUUCAGAGUGUGUAAGGCUGAGGCCCCAUGAGCUUGGCUACCUUUGUAGGUGGUGAAAGGGCAGCUUAAAACAUCACCCAAAAGCAGCUGUGUGGGCCUGAUAGACCAGCCCCAUCCAACUGCUCUGUGGCAUUUCAUGCUGCCUUUUCCUCUGCCUGGAAAGAGCCUGCCAGCCUGCUUUCUCUGUGUCACCUCCCCAGAGGAGCCUUGGCUGGCUGCCCCACCUCCAAUUCCAUUUCCACUCGCUGGCUACACAAGAGCAUCCUUCCCCUCUUCUCUGUCAGUCCUGAUAAUUUUUGGUGAUUUGUCUAAUCUCCUUGUGAAGUAUCUAAUUAUUCUUAGUAGAGUGUGCCUUUCUCCCCUGUCUGGCUGGUUGGGGGCUGUGUCUAGCAGGAGGUUGUAGGAAUUCAUGAGUCAAUGGACAUGUGAGUGAAUUUGCUUAUCUCUGCUGUUGAGGCUACAGAAAUGGGAACUCUUCCAUCCCUGGAGACAUGAGGCCUGUCUUCUGCCCCUCACUCUGUCCCUUACUACUCCCAGAGAUUCAGCUGCUGUCAGUGAGAGUUGUGGCUACCGAAGAACUGGAGCUGUCUGCCCCACCCCCACCUCCCAGGGAACAAUUUCAUCUUCUCUGCAUCCCACAUGCAUGAAUGGACAGCCACGUCUUCUCUACAAGCUCCUCUCCACUUCCCCACCCCCACCACCCCAACCACAGGAUGGUGAUAGCAAAAAUAAAAGAGGUAAACAGUAGGUAUUCAGUAAAUGCCAGCCACUGUCAAAACAGCAAUGCAAUUCACAACUUCAAACUGUGCCUUGCCUUCUGGGAGAUUGUUUUUAAUAACUGAAAAUCAGUUGCUUAUGCACCCUGGCCUUGUAGUAUGGAAUCAGUACCUUUAAUUCUGACUUUGUUUACUUUAACUCCCUGUAACCGGAGUUUCAUGGGUUGGCAGACUUUUGCUCCACUAGUCUCAAAGGAGGCCUUUGGACCACGCCUGACCACAGCCACUUUGAUCCUGAAAGCCUUUAAUCUAGUGCGCCCGCGUAGAAUGACACAUAAAUAUCCUUACACACGUAAAUAAAGCAGCUCCAGCGGUAGGAAUGUACCCACAGCAGGAGGCCCUGGGUUCUGAUCCGAUUUCCAUUCACUUCUCUUCAUCGAGGGAGGAGCUAGCUAACCCUUUG